AUUGAACGCUGGCGGCAUGCCUUACACAAGCAAGUCGAACGGCAGCACGGGUGCUUGCACCUGGUGGCGAGUGGCGAACGGGUGAGUAAUACAUCGGAACAUGUCCUGUAGUGGGGGAUAGCCCGGCGAAAGCCGGAUUAAUACCGCAUACGAUCUACGGAUGAAAGCGGGGGACCUUCGGGCCUCGCGCUAUAGGGUUGGCCGAUGGCUGAUUAGCUAGUUGGUGGGGUAAAGGCCUACCAAGGCGACGAUCAGUAGCUGGUCUGAGAGGACGACCAGCCACACUGGGACUGAGACACGGCCCAGACUCCUACGGGAGGCAGCAGUGGGGAAUUUUGGACAAUGGGCGAAAGCCUGAUCCAGCAAUGCCGCGUGUGUGAAGAAGGCCUUCGGGUUGUAAAGCACUUUUGUCCGGAAAGAAAUCCUUGGCCCUAAUACGGUCGGGGGGAUGACGGUACCGGAAGAAUAAGCACCGGCUAACUACGUG
rnacentral:rRNA from 1 species